UACAGAGGGGGCAAGCGUUGUUCGGAAUUACUGGGCGUAAAGGGCGCGUAGGCGGCCUGCUAAGUCGAACGUGAAAUCCCCGGGCUCAACCCGGGAACUGCGUCCGAUACUGGCAGGCUUGAGUUCGGGAGAGGGAUGCGGAAUUCCAGGUGUAGCGGUGAAAUGCGUAGAUAUCUGGAGGAACACCGGUGGCGAAGGCGGCAUCCUGGACCGAAAUUGACGCUGAGGCGCGAAAGCCAGGGGAGCAAACGGG
rnacentral:rRNA from 1 species